rnacentral:rRNA from 1 species
UACAGAGGUCUCAAGCGUUGUUCGGAUUCAUUGGGCGUAAAGGGUGCGUAGGCGGCGCGGUAAGUCGGGUGUGAAAUCUCGGAGCUUAACUCCGAAACUGCAUUCGAUACUGCCGUGCUUGAGGACUGGAGAGGAGACUGGAAUUCCUGGUGUAGCGGUGAAAUGCGCAGAUAUCAGGAGGAACACCGGUGGCGAAGGCGGGUCUCUGGGCCGAUACUGACGCUGAGGAGCGAAAGCGUGGGAGCGAACAGG